ensembl:lncRNA
UUUAACAGUCCAGGUGUCAAGGGCAAAGGGACCCAAUCCGGCAGAAGACAAAGAUCCUAUAUUUGAACGUGGCUCUACCACAACCUACUCAAGCUUUAGGAAGGGCAGCUACACCAAACCCUGGUCCAGCGGAGAGACUGAAAUGUUUUACUUGGCCAUCAGCAUGGUGGGGACAGACUUCUCCAUGACUGGUCAGCUGUUUCCACACCGAGCUCGAAAAGAGAUUAAGUAUGUAAUGAGAUCAACAAUCAAGCGGCCCUUACUCUUCUGACCAUCGGGAACCCAGCUCAGAUGAUCCAGACAUCAGAAAUGCCCUGUACAAGUGGAAAUGAUAUUGUUGUACAUGAAGAGGUCGUCCAUGAGGAAGAUAUCACAGAAACAGCCAUCAUGUCUAGUUCUUCUGUAAGCUGUGAGUCUGAGACAAAAGGUGACGUUGAAUUUUCGAACUGUGAAACUCAUAUUCCAGAACCUUCUGCUGAAGAAACCAUCAUCCAGAAAGAAGAACCAAUCAAAUUACAGACAACUGAUCUCAUCCUGCUCCCAUUCAACAUGAUACACAGUCUCCACCAAGUAAAAGAGGACGAUACUCCAAACCCAAACCCAAUAUUAGUCAGUGUUUGAGAACCAGAUGAGCUCCACAGCAGCAGAUCUCUCCAGAACUUGUCACAGGUUCUUUGGGGACCUCUAAGUGUCCGUCUUCCACAGAACAGGAUAAAAAUCCAAUGCAAGAAGAUUGUGUUCCUGUGGAUCACCUGCCAGAUUCCUUUACCAUCCGCCCUGAGGUACUACAGCCGGAUAUAUCAUCUGAAACAAGAGAUGUCAUUCCUGAAAGAGUGACUAAAGAAGAUAAUAGAUCCGUUUCAUCUUUGAAGAGAAAGGAUGAUGAUAUAAUCACAGAGGAAGAUAUAAAAGAACAAGAAGGGUUGGGAUCAGAACCACAGCUGACUAAAAGGUAUUAAAAGUGUUGCAUAUGUCCCAUUUAUUUAGUUUGUUCUUAUUAUUUAUACGUUUUUCACUGAUAAUGUAAUGUUAGUUAAUGUUCUUUCUUUUGUUUGUAACUUUUUAAAUUAAUAAAUAGAAUGGUUUGCAUAUUAACACGGUUCCUUGAAUAUCUAAAACCAGCACUUCCAAAGGCAACAAUUCACAUUCCAUAAUAAGAGAAUGAUAUUUAUAUGUAUUUGUCUAAAAAAACGUCUGUAUGUUGUUUCAGUGUGAACGAGUCUCAGAGCACAUCAGUUGAGUCCUCUAAACCUGUCAGGAGGCACUGUAGACUCAAACCUCAACCAAACCUGACUCAGACAUCCAGACGCAGCAGCACAUCAACCACAGCAGGUAACAGCCACCUUUAUGAUUUAUAUAACUUUUUAAUAUUGACAUUUGCUUAUAAAUGUUUUGUAUUCACAUUUUUUAUAAUGUCAUUCUCAUUUUCGUUACUGUGAUAUGAUUGUUAAAAAACAAGAAAAAACAAGCAGAAAUUAACAUAAUACCAUGUAUAAAUUAUUGUAACUUUUUUUAAUAAGAUGUAUUUUUUUGUGAUUAUAGCUGUAGAUGCUUUUUAAACGUUCAAAAUUUGUUUAAUAGCUAGAAUUUUUUUUAAUUUUUUUUAUGAAAUUUAUUUAUUCAUUUAUUUAUUUUUGUAAUAUAUAUGAUUUUUUUAUUAGAAUUUACAUGAUUGUUUAAAUAAUAAUAACAAUAAUAAUAAAAACUUGAAAUCUGUGUUAGUUUUACUAUAAAUUAUAUAUUUUCCAGUAUUUUAAAAUUACUUAUAAAAAUAUGUUUGUAAUCAUCCAGUCUUUUUAGAAUAUUGUUUAAUAUUGUGUAAAUGUGCUUUAAUGUCGCAAAAAUAAUGAUUGACAAUUGAAUUAAAAUCAAAUCCAAAUUAUUAUGCAACAUAUAAGUUAGUAAUUUAUUUAUCAAAAUCAUCCGCUGCUCAGGCUUCCAUGAACACUUUCACUGAAAGUGCUGAAGAGGAUUCUGUAUUUACCACAGAACUUUACGUAUCCAAAAGUGCAGCUCAACAAGGAGCAUCAAGCAUUGAAUCAGCAGAGGUAAAAUAUCUGUUAAAUACUGUUAAACCUCAUCGGCAUACACUCAGAUAUUUCAGCUUUUAUUCUCACUUUCUAUAUUUGUAUUAAUAAAACCGGAUUUGAUCUUUCUCUACUCGUGCAGAACUCAGAUGAAGAACCCACAAGUGUCUCCAAAUACUUCUUAAGUGACAUCUUUACUGAAGUUGAUGAACUAGAAGACAUGGAUUUAGGCCAAAGGUUGGAAUUACAAACCAGUCACAACUAACUAAACAGUCAGAAAUAUAGUUUGACAUAAGUUGGAUGUAUAGACAUCUGAAUAUUUGGAAGGGCACUUCUACCAAGAAGAGCCACAACUGAAGAGAUGCAGCAAAAACGUACCUCAGUAAUAGCUGACAUAAUGUCUUUUAUGUCAUUAUAAUUUUAUUUAAGGAUAAAUAAGUAUUAAUUCAGUUAAGUUUUUGUUACUGUUGCACUCUUUUGUUAUGUAAAGUUGUAUUAUAAUUCAUGUCUGAUCUGAGCCUAACUGAAUUUUUUAUUUAUUUAUUUGGUCUCGACCUGCAUUUUAUUUCCAGUUAUGAAUUAGGAACGUUAAUUUCUCUCACAGUAAGUGAUUUUUCUUUUAUUAUUUAUUCAUCUUUUUUAAGAGCAGCUUUGAAACAAACCUCUAUUUUAAAUAUGCACUGUCCUGUUUUUAGCUCCAUGCUGUCUGCGUGUUGUAUUUUAGCAUUGCUCCACAUUAUUUGUAGCAAUUUAGAUUUCAACUUUUAACCUUUGUUCAGUUUUAUGCUCUUCAUAUUUGUUUUUCAUAGUUGUGUCUCAAGCAAAUGUUUUACUUGUGUUUGUAAAUAUGUUAAUAAAAAUGUACAGUAUGUUUGUAAAGGUUGAAUUUUACAUUUGUUUCCAUCUGUCUGAUUAUAUGAGAAAUAAUUUAUAUUUAUAAAUGACAAAUUUGAUGAUUUAGAUUCAACGUUUUUAAUAAUAGUCACUUAUUUUUUUAGCUACCUUGUAUGCAUGCAUGAAUGAAUAACGUACUUUAAUUGAACAGAAAUGUUACAUAGAUUAGCAAUUAAAGGGAUAGUUCAACCAAAAUGAAAAUUCUGUCAUUUAUUACUCACCCUCUUGUUUACAAGCAGAGGAAUGCACACUGAUGGACUAUUUACACACAUUAUUUUAACUGUCUUUUAUCUUUUUGGGCAUUGGACAUGGUAGUUGUGUUUCUGUCUAUGCCGGGUCAGAAAGCUCUCCGAUUUCACCAAAAAUACAUUAAUUUGUGUAAAAGAUUUUGGAAAAAAAUCCAAGUCCAGGCACUCAAUAGGAUGCAAAAGUAAAAAAGCCUUUAAUGGUUGGGCUAAAGCAUUAAAACACCAACGCGUAUCGGCCCAUUGGCCUUCAUCAGGGUGUUGGUAACAAACAGACAGAAUCACGCAGUACUUAUAGUUGCAUUGGUUUCAGGUGUGCCACUCUGGCACUUGUAACACAAUUUUUUGGCCACUAGAGGCAAUAGUUCAGAUAAUGGCUAAUACCAAAGAUCAAACCAUACAAAUACAAGAUAAGGGAUCUCCAAGUGGAAGAAAAAAAAAAAAAAAAAACAGGAGAGAGUAACACCAAUACAAACAUCUUGUGUACUCCACACAAUUAUAUCCAUAAAGUCAAAUAAAUGUGUAGAGGCUAGUUACCCAUCUUACUUCUGGAUUCAUUGUCAAGAUAGUUCCAAAGCAACAGGAGAAAAAUAUGUUUAUGGGCAUUACAGUACAUUAAAAGAACAGUCAACAUUCACGGACAACAAUACACUG